rnacentral:rRNA from 1 species
AGAAUCAACGCUGGCGGCGUGCCUCAGACAUGCAAGUCGAACGAUUAAAGCUCUCUUCGGAGAGUGUAUAAAGUGGCGCACGGGUGAGUAACACGUAAGUAAUCUACCUUCGAGUGGGGAAUAACGUCCGGAAACGGACGCUAAUACCGCAUAACGCAGCGGCAUCGCAAGAUGACAGUUGUUAAAGAUUUAUCGCUUGAAGAGGAGCUUGCGGCAGAUUAGCUUGUUGGUAAGGUAACGGCUUACCAAGGCUACGAUCUGUAACCGGUCUAAGAGGACGGUCGGUCACACUGACACUGAAUAACGGGUCAGACUCCUACGGGAGGCAGCAGUCGGAAUUUUGGGCAAUGGGGGAAACCCUGACCCAGCAACGCCGCGUGAAGGAUGAAGUAUUCGGUAUGUAAACUUCGAAAGAAUAGGAAGAAUUAAUGACGGUACUAUUUAUAAGGUCCGCUAACUACGUGCCAGCAGCCGC